rnacentral:rRNA from 1 species
AGCGUUAUCCGGAAUUAUUGGGCGUAAAGAGCUCGUAGGCGGUUUGUCGCGUCUGCCGUGAAAGUCCGGGGCUCAACUCCGGAUCUGCGGUGGGUACGGGCAGACUAGAGUGAUGUAGGGGAGACUGGAAUUCCUGGUGUAGCGGUGAAAUGCGCAGAUAUCAGGAGGAACACCGAUGGCGAAGGCAGGUCUCUGGGCAUUAACUGACGCUGAGGAGCGAAAGCAUGGGGAGCGAACAGGAUUAGAUACCCUGGUAGUCCAUGCCGUAAACGUUGGGCACUAGGUGUGGGGGACAUUCCACGUUUUCCGCGCCGUAGCUAACGCAUUAAGUGCCCCGCCUGGGGAGUACGGCCGCAAGGCUAAAACUCAA